GACGAACGCUGGCGGCGUGCCUAAUACAUGCAAGUAGAACGCUGAAGGAGGAGCUUGCUUCUCUGGAUGAGUUGCGAACGGGUGAGUAACGCGUAGGUAACCUGCCUGGUAGCGGGGGAUAACUAUUGGAAACGAUAGCUAAUACCGCAUAAGAGUAGAUGUUGCAUGACAUUUACUUAAAAGGUGCAAUUGCAUCACUACCAGAUGGACCUGCGUUGUAUUAGCUAGUUGGUGAGGUAACGGCUCACCAAGGCAACGAUACAUAGCCGACCUGAGAGGGGGGUCGGCCCACCUGGGACUGGGACACGGCCCCGGCCCCCUCGGGAGGCAGCCGUAGGGAAUCCUUGGGCAUGGGCGGAAGUCUGACCGGGCCACGCCGCGUGAGUGAAGAAGGGUUUCGGAUCGUAAAGAUCUGUUGUAAGGGAAGAACGAGUGUUAGAGUGGAAAGUGCACACUGUGACGGUAUCUUACCAGAAAGGGACGGCUAACUACGUG
rnacentral:rRNA from 1 species